UGGAAGGUCUGGAGUUAAGUCCCUGCGCGAGCAAGGGAAUUAUUUUUUGUUGCUUGGCCGUGUGGCGUGGUGGAGUCCUAGUCAAAUUGAAAUUUCAAGUAGUGGAGUUGUUGUGGGAGGUUAGGGAGAGAAUUAAGGAGAUGAGUUACCAGAUUGUUUUACGCAUUAUCUUUUUGUUUAGUUUUUUUUUCAAAAUUUGGACUCGUUUCCACCUUUUUGACAUUUUCUCUCUUCUCCCUCGCUCUCAAUUUUUGGUUUUCCUCUUUUUUC
rnacentral:lncRNA from 1 species